rnacentral:rRNA from 1 species
UACGGGGGGUGCGAGCGUUGUCCGGAAUCACUGGGCGUAAAGGGCGCGUAGGUGGUUUGAUAAGGGUGUGGUGAAAGUCCGGGGCUCAACCCCGGAUCUGCCGUGCCGACUGUCAAACUCGAGGGCUGUAGAGGCAGACGGAAUUCCGGGUGUAGCGGUGGAAUGCGUAGAGAUCCGGAGGAAGACCGGUGGCGAAGGCGGUCUGCUGGGCAGUUCUGACACUUGAGGCGCGACAGCGUGGGGAGCAACAGG